CCAUGAAAAUCCUCUCGAGGCAUUUGUGUGGGAGAAGAACAAGGAAGUGAGGUUUUUUACAGAUGUCCAGACUGGCGGGUUUGUGUAUUUAUACCUAUUUUACCAGUGAGAAAUUACCUGUUUUUUCUGCAUGUUAGCCAAAAUGCCAGCUCGUUGUAAUUGCUGUAUUUCGGUCGAACACUCGAGAUGAUGGAUUCACUCUUCACACGUUUCCAAAAGACCCCGUUCGUCGUGAAAAAUGGAUUGCAGAGGUUCAAAGAACAAGAGGUUUGUGUGUUCCAAAUGACGUGUGUAUAGAGCUAUUAAAAAAAUAAUAAUAGGGGGAGACUAAUUUGUCUCAGUUUCUAGCAUAUAUUUGUGAAUUUGGAAUAAAUCCCCUUGGUCAAACCAGCAAAAUAUAACAAAACACUUGUAUUGUGUUUUAAGACAAUUUAAUCACACACACUGCAAGACAUAUUGACAAAAUAGAAGUACAAAGAUAAUUUAUUAGCAUGCAACACAAGCUAACUAGUAAAACGAUAUAUAGUCACCAAACUCGAACAAAUGUAAUUUCUAGCGAAUGUUCCAGCACGGCAGUGUGGCUGUUACUCGGCAGUCCGCCAUCAGUUAGCCUCUGCAGCGGUCUGCCCAAAAAUCCCCAAAUCUUUCUUUUUCAUCUCCCAAAGCAGGUGGCAAAGAGUGUUUUCAAUGGCAUUUGUCCCAGUGUGACAUCUGCAAAUGACAUUGCAGGCAAUAUGGCCGCCACUUGGAUGUCGAGUGAGACCUCCGCAAAUUUGCGCAUUAAUGACACGCUCUCCGUAAUUUUUUUUUUGUAUAGACAUUGAAGUAAGUAAUAUAUGUAGUUUUCAUAACAAUAUCUAUUUUAAAAUGUAUAUUUGGGUGUCAGUGGCACUUUAAAGUCAAAGCCUGUAUUUUAGCGCAUGUAAAGGUUUCUGUUCCUAUGUUGGAUGCAGUAAUCAGAAAAUGACGUUCUUUGAUACUUGUCUAGAUGGAGAGGCUACUUACGUUAUGGACUGAGGACCAAAUUCCUUCGCAAUAGCUAAGCACAGCUUACCCUUCUUCUCCAUCCAUCUCUCAGCAGUAAUGGGGUCCAGUACACCAGUCCCAGCAUUGGCACUCAUCUUACAGGGGAACGAGAACCUUUUCCUCCACCGCACGCAGUUGGCCUGGACUGCCUCCCUGGGUGGGAGAACAUGCAAAACCAUGAAGCCCACAGCCACCGUGUCACCAAAUUGAGAUUCAUAAUUAAUUAUAUUAACUCUGCUUAUUAAGUGUUGAGUCACGGGGGCAGAAACCUGCACAGCAAAGCCCAGGCUUCUUUCACCCUAGCCCCUUUGUCAAGCUUUUCCAAAGUCCAGGAUCUUUCCCAGGGUCUCCACACAGCGGGACGCCUCCAGGACACGUCAUCAGGACGUAAUCCAACCAGGUGUUCUGAGCCACCUCAUCCGACGCCACUCAAUGUGGAAAUGCUGCAUCUCUACUCUGAGUCCUUCUCGGAUGACUGAACAUCUCACGCUAUCGCUAAAGGAGGAAAUGCUUGAAUCUGUGAUCUUGUUCUUUAAGUUACCCCCAACAGCUCAUGACCAUAAGCAAUGCUGGAUACCAACAUCGAUCAGUCAAUUGAGAGUUUUGCUUAACGGAUUAACGGCAGAUUGAUGGAGGGUCCUCAUUACUGCAGAACCGUCUGUUGAUCUCCCACGCUAGUCUUCCCCCAUGUUAAUUUAAAAAAAGUAUUUAGUUAGCCUUUGCAAACUAAUGAAAAUACACAGACCCUGGCUGUAACUACAUUAUA